rnacentral:lncRNA from 1 species
UAAAAAAAAAUUCUGAGAAAGAAAAGUUGAAAGGUUUUCUGGGAACGAAUGGCUUUUCCGAGUUGAUUUUCUUUGACGAGUUCAUUAAAGUUUAAGAGAAACAUAGAUACAAAUUUUUUCUUGUUAUUUUCCUGAAUCCGGAUUUGAGUUCUAAGGAGAUAAAAUUGAAGUUCAAGCUGGGUUUUACUGUCGUCUUGCUGAGUUGCUGCUAAACCUCGCUCGUAUUUAAAGGCGAAAGGCGUACUAUUAAGGCUAUAGUUAUUAACAGGAGCUUGCAACUUCAGGUUUGAAUCUCCUUUUUACUAUGUAACUAUGUUUUUUUAAGGAAUUGUUCUUGAGAUGUGAAUUCUGUCUCGAAUGGUUCUAUGAUCGAAUUUCCUGUUGAAUGAAUCCACUCUCAGUGGUGUGAUGAAUUUAAGUAUGCUCGGUUAGUAAAAGUUGAAUUUGCAUGGUCGUUUUCUAUGCCUUGAAUAUUUUUAGCUGUUAUUAUGGUGUUAAAGUAUCUCUGUGGGUUAAGAUUUUAUCGAGUUGAUAUAGGUGAUCUAUCCGGCUUCAUGAUUGUUGAAUGAGUCAGAAUCAUCAAUGCAUAUUCUCGUGGUUUUCUGUUAGGUUCUCUGAUUUUCCAGUACGAGUACCUUUCAAUGUUAGAACCUAGUUCAUAAUCAAAUUGGUAGAGUUGUAUGCCUGAUUAUCGAUGUUUCAUCUGGUUUGUUUUCUUCUAAAAAUACACAGCAACUUGUUCUUAGUUUCUUCAGUUAUUAAAGGCUGAGCAUAUUGCAUUAACUGAAGUCGAAAAUCUAAAUUUAAAAGGGUCACUGUAAUUUGCUGAAAUGGAAAUGCAUCUGGAAUUCAAAGUCAUGUUCGGAUCUUAUUUUGGCAUCUGUUACUCACUUAUAAGGCAACUAAUUAAUUGUGUUGAGGUUUAGCUGUUUUCGUUCCUUCAAAAUAGGAUCUGAAUUGAAUUUCUUGGCUUUCUGUGUGCUGAAAUUGAUAUAGCCAUGUGUAAGGAUUCUUUGUUGUUAUAAGAUUUUGAUCAGCUCAUUCUUAAAUCUGAAAGGAAAGUUGAUUGAAAGUUGCUUUCUUAUCAUGUUUUCAUGAGACUUCUACUACUUGUAUAGUGCUUUCGACUUUCAGGUGUGAGGUUUAAUAUGGUUGAGUUUGGAUUGCUAUGAGAACAUCUUAUUUUGUUGUAAUUCUGUGACAAUUCAAAGUUGGAUUAAUAAGCUCUUAUCGUGGAAAUCAUACCAUAAUCUCAUGAAGUUUGUUAUGUUCAAUCAGCAAAAGAGAUUGGCUCUUGCUUUCUUCUAUUUGCCUCUAAUUGAUCUGGCUUUUAAAAUGAUUGCUUGAAACUGAAGUUUUAUCUUGAAAUCGUCCAAGUGCUUUAAUGACAUGUCACAAAUUCAGUUUGCAUACAUACCUACUGUCGUCCAGCGUUGCUUCCAACAGAGAUUUCUGUUUUGUUCAAGUUUUCAUUCAGUGAAGUUAUGCAUAGACUACUCAUGAACCAAACACGCUUUUGUUGAUUCACCAUGAAUCUAGGAUACGCUAUUUGUCCUGUGUUUCAAUGGUUUAAAGAUGGUCAGAAUAGGUCUAGAAGUGAUGUUUGUCGAGGCAUAGUUAAGUGCUCGAAUGGUGGUUGUCGAAUUGUUAGAUGCAAACUCGAUUCAUAUGAUUAAAAAUGACCCGAAACCUGUUUUUGUUAAAGUAAUUUUCUGGGCAGAAUAUUGCUAAAUACUGGAGGCUAUUGUUGAAGUGAAUCUGGGCCAUUUUAUGUGUUUGAAACUGAUGUGGGUCAUUUAAUCUAUUGCUUGAACAUUGUAUGUGUAGCUAUAGGGAUUCGAUUUUGAAUCCCUGCCCUGCCAGUACACGUGAAUACUGUUUGGGCUUGUAAAGACUCCGUGUUUGAGUCUAGAAGCGUUUGAGUUUGUGAAUCUGGACUCACUUCUAGGCCCAAGUCAGACAGCUCCAUGGAAGAUGAUUUGGGUUCUAAUUUUUGGACUUUGAUUUCCUUUCUUGAGAGGAUCAGUAAUACUGCUGUUUC